UCCAAUGGGGUGGGGAGGUUCAGUACCCACAGUAGGUUGGUCCAAUGGGGUGGGGAGGUUCAGUACCCACAGUAGGUUGGUCCAAUGGGGUGGGGAGGUUCGAGUCCAAAUGGUUAUGCAAAUACCCUCAGAAACAUAUCAUUGUCCAAAACAACUGUUUAGCUAAAGGCUUGCGUUAGCUAGUACAGCACAAAAUUAGCACAACAUUUGAGCGAUGCACAUAUAUCACCAUGUAUGAAUAUAAACUUUAAGGCACAAAUGCAUGUCAUUUCAAUGUCUUAAGAGGGAAAAUACUUUUGUCCUUGAAGUUUUAAAUCAAUGUAGCUGCAAUACAGUCACCAUUGCAGACCCAGAAAACAACUGAAAACCAGUCAGCUGUUCGCAAAACAAAUAAGCAAAUACAGACAAACAAAGACACGUUACUGGUAGUUAAUAAAAAACACUCAGAAACAAAGACAAAUUACUGGUAGUAAUUAAAAUAAAAAAGUAUUGCUCUUAAUUCAACAUCUUACUGAAAGUGGCACUGGCUCAACAAUACAAAGACCAGUGUAUCAUGUACAUUCUGAUGUGACUGUGUGCAGGGCCAGGCACGUUACCAGGGUUCAGGCUCCUAUAGCCUACACAGAGAUGAUCUCAGAGGAUCAGAUGACCUCUCACAAAUGGACAGAAAGCUCUGGUGGUAGAAGAUGGGGUGAGGAGGAGAAGGAGCAAGGGGAAGAGCAAGAGAAGUUACAGGGCCUAGUCCUCUACUAGUUUGGAGGAAGCUGAGGGGUCUACGGCGGCCUGGUUGUCGUCUUUCUGGUCCAUCUCUGUGUGGUGCUCCUCCUCCUUGUUGCCGCCCCCCUCCUCCCCAGUCUGGAACAUGUCAUGAGUCCACUUGUUGGGGCUUCUGCCCCCCUUGCGGUAGAUGAAGCGACCCCUGCUGUGAGGAAAGACCCCUCGGCCACAGCUCUCCAGCCACGGCUUCUCAUCCUCACGGUCAUCAUGCUGUAAGGUGGAUGGCCAGAGAGGUCAGUGAAAAGAACCACUGCAACAGCAUCAGUAGAGGAACAUGUUUUAACGUAUUAAUGUCCCCUAAGAGCUAAGAUGAUCAACUAUCACAAUACUGAAACACGAUUAAGACCAGGUUUCCAUAUUCAAAUAAAAAAUCAUCACUGGUCACAUGUAGUGUACUAUAAAAAGGUGCCAUUUAAGACGAAGCAAUAAUAUGUGCUAAAACAGGAAGUGGUGAAACUCACAAAGUAGUAUUUCCUGCUCUUGGGGGUGUACUCUGGGUCCCAGUCCUCAUCUGGGGGGCGCUCUGGGGGGGCGGUGUUCAUACUAGGAGGGGGGUUGCCAUUGCUGCUUGUGUUACCUUGGUAAUUGCCCCUAUUCCAGCCCCUUCCUCCUCCUCUGAGUCUGGGAAGCUGAAACCACAACAACAAACUUGGUCAGACUAUGGGCAACUUCACUCUACAGCCCCAGAUACUGAUCUUGGGUCAGUUUUGUUGUGGGAGAGAGUGGGAGAGCGAAAAAGACCGCUAUAGGGGGAAAGAGAGGGAGAAAGAGUAGGGGAGAGAAAGAGAGGGGAGAGAGGGAGGGAAAGAGAGAGAGAACACUAGAGGUUCUCAGUUGGCUGUGGAGAAAAGAGGAAUCAGGCCUAUAGUCAAUCACAUCAUUCCAAUUGUACAGUCCAGUCUAUACAGUUAAGUUAGGGUAGGUGUACAGUAGACUACACCACACAGAGAGCAGAACUUACAAAUCCUCCACCAUUUCCACGUCCUCGGCCCCUAUCCAUGUGGCCCUCAUAAUCCCGGGGGGGACCCCUGUCCAUAGGGCCCUCAUAGUCCCGGGGGGGACCCCUGUCCAUAGGGCCCUCAUAGUCCCGGGGGGGACCCCUGUCCAUAGGGCCCUCAUAGUCGCGGGACCCGAAGCGAGGCUUACUGUAGCCCUGGUCCAUAUGCUCCAUCUCCUCCCCCAUCAUGUGGUCUUUACCUCUGAAGGGAGAGGGAGAGGAGGAGGAAGAGGAGGAGGACGGAGAGCGAUCACGAUUCUUCUUCUUUUUUCUGAGUGAGAGGUAAAAGAGCAAAUCUCAAUUAGUCUCCAUUUUGACUGCCUCUAAAGUUGGGAGUGCAAAACAGGAAAUCAUGAAGGGUGGUGAAAAUGUGUCACAUAUAGCUUGUAUCACUACAUUUUAAUCAAAGAUACAAUUUAAGGAUGAAACAUUGUCUUCAGGCAGAUGGCUUCAUUCUAACACUACCGGCUCAUCGGGCUGUCUGGCGUAAGACAAUGGGAAGAGACUAUAGGAAGGUGAUUUUACAUUAAGAUAUACUAAGCCUACUUUGAUUUCUUGUGGCGUUUGGAAGAUUUCUCUGAGGACCUCUCUUGGCUGGGUCCUUGGGAGCCCUUGCCCCCAUCCCGUUGCUGCUGCCCAGGCUCCUUCCCAGAAAACCUUUUACGGCGCUCUAUAUCCAGACGCAGGUCCAUUGGGUCAGUUUUUGCUGUUCUACCCCGAUCCUGUGUAGAUAUAGAAGUGUUGUCUGUGUUAGUGAUCGCUUUCGCUUCGGACAACACAACUUGUAAUUUACCAUCCUACCACUUAACUUCAUCAAUGGACAAAAUAUAAUGAAGUAAUGAUGUCUUUUCACAUACAGAACUUGUUAAACAGUUUUAGUAUUGGACCCAUCUGCUGGUGAUGACACCAAAUCCAGCCCUCCUGAGAUGUAAGCCCAACUUUUCUUUCAAAUAACUUGAAUGUUUUAUAUCAAAGUAUUUUGUAUGUACUCAAGUAAACAAAUCAAAUAUAA